rnacentral:rRNA from 1 species
GACGAACGCUGGCGGCGUGCUUAACACAUGCAAGUGGAGCGACGAACCGGGCUUCGGCCCGGGGCAGAGCCGCGAACGGGUGAGUAACACGUGGGUCAUCUGCCCAGUUGACAGGGACAACCCGGGGAAACCCGGGCUAAUACCUGAUGUGCCCUUCGGGGGAAAGGAAGCUUCGGCCUCCGCAACUGGAUGAGCCCGCGGCCCAUUAGCUUGUUGGUGGGGUAACGGCCUACCAAGGCAACGAUGGGUAGCUGGUCUGAGAGGACGAUCAGCCACACUGGGACUGAGACACGGCCCAGACUCCUACGGGAGGCAGCAGUGGGGAAUCUUGCGCAAUGCGCGAAAGCGUGACGCAGCAACGCCGCGUGAGGGAAGAAGGCCUUCGGGUUGUAAACCUCUUUCAGGAGGGACGAAGGUUCAGGCGCGAAUAGCGUCCUGGACUGACGGUACCUCCAGAAGAAGGCCCGGCUAACUACGUGCCAGCAGCCGCCGUAACAC